rnacentral:rRNA from 1 species
ACGGGAGGCGGCAGUGAGGAAUAUUGGUCAAUGGGCGGAAGCCUGAACCAGCCAAGUCGCGUGAAGGAAGAAGGUAUUAUGUAUUGUAAACUUCUUUAGACGUAGAGAAAUAAGGGUGUCGUGACACCUGAUGCUAGUAUACGUAGAAUAAGGAUCGGCUAACUCCGUGCCAGCAGCCGCGGUAAUACGGAGGAUCCGAGCGUUAUCCGGAUUUAUUGGGUUUAAAGGGUGCGCAGGCGGCUUUUUAAGUCAGUGGUUAAAUCGUGAGGCUCAACCUCAUCACGCCAUUGAUACUGGAGAGCUUGAUUGCGUUUGAGGUGGGCGGAAUUCGCCGUGUAGCGGUGAAAUGCAUAGAUAUGGCGAAGAACUCCGAUUGCGUAGGCAGCUGACCAAGCCGUAAAUGACGCUCAUGCACGAAAGUGCGGGGAUCGAACAGGAUUAGAUACCCUGGUA